GCUCGCUCCCUGAUUGGCGGAGAGAGCGCGGGACAGACUCCUGGCGUUCUGGGCAAGGGAAAAGAAGUCGCGGGGACGGAGUCCAGCCCUGAGGUGAGAUGGAAAGUGAACAAGAGCAGUGACAGCGUGAAUCCUGUUGAUGCCAGGCAAGAGCUGCCCAACUGGGACGAGAGUAACCGUCUCUGUCGGUGAGAUAAGCAUCCCAGACAGAGAACCAGC